ACCCUGAAUGUUAUCCAACGGUUAGAAAAAAAGGCCAAAAAUUUCUCUUAUUUUCUCAUCUCCCUACUUCUCCUCACCACUGUCUCCUGAGCCGCUCCCUACACAUGGUGUCUCUCUCCAUUCAACUGUGAUUGUAGUGCAAGGCUACAAACUACACGACCAUGGCCUCACUCUCACUCUCACUCUCCUCCACCCCCACCCACCUAUUCUCACCUUCCUUCAAUCGCCGACUCACCACAAAACCACCACCCUCUUCUUCUCUCACUUCUUCUAAUGCUGCUGCUGCUGCUGCUAACCCAGAUGAUAAGCCAAAUGCUUUAACAGUCCCAGAGAGAAGCCAAACCCAAAGAAAAGUGAUGAUAGACAUUGAGAAGCUAAAGAAGCGAGAAGCCAAGGAGAGAAAAGAGGAAGUGAACAGUAAGAUAGCUUCGAGGAAAGCAAUCUCAAUUAUACUCAGGAGAGAGGCUACCAAAGCACUCAUUGAGAAGAAGAGGGGUCCCACCAAUUCUAAAAAGCUGCUUCCCAGGACUGUUCUUGAAGCCCUUCACGAGAGAAUCAAGGCUUUGCGUCCUGACUCUGCUCUCAAGGUGUUUGAACUACUACGUGAGCAGCUGUGGUACAGGCCCAAUUCUGGAGUGUACAUUAAGUUAAUUGUGAUGCUGGGAAAAUGUAAGCAACCUCAAAAAGCUGAUGAACUUUUUCAAGCCAUGAUUGAUGAAGGUUGUGUUGUGAACCAUGAAGCAUACACUGCUCUCUUAUCUGCCUAUGGUAGGAGUGGUCUCUUUGACAAAGCAUUUUCCCUCCUCGAGCAGAUGAAGAAUACUCCUGAUUGUCAGCCUGAUGUGCAGACUUACUCAAUCCUCAUAAAAUCAUGUUUAGAGUAUUAUGCCUUUGACAAAGUGCAGGCUCUGCUUUCUGACAUGACAACUCAGGGAAUCAGACCAAACACUGUCACAUUCAAUACCCUAAUCGAUGCCUAUGGGAAGGCCAGAAAGUUUUCAGAGAUGGAAUCAACCCUUGUGGAAAUGCUCCGUGAGAAGAACUGUGAACCUGAUGUUUGGACCAUGAACUCCACACUCAGAGCCUUUGGUAGCAGCAGGCAAACAGAAACAAUGGAGAAGUGCUAUGAGAAAUUUCAGAGUGCUGGGGUCCAACCAAACAUUCGGACCUUCAAUAUUCUACUAGAUUCCUAUGGAAAAGCAGGAGAGUAUGAGAAAAUGAGUGCUGUGAUGGAAUACAUGCAGAAAUACCAUUACUCUUGGACAAUCGUUACGUACAAUGUGGUGAUAGAUGCAUUUGGGAAGGCUGGAGAUUUAAAACAAAUGGAAUAUUUGUUUAGGCUAAUGCGGUCAGAGAGGAUUAAGCCAAGCUGUGUUACACUUUGCUCGCUUGUAAGGGCUUAUGGGCAAGCUAGUAAACCUGAAAAGAUUGGUGGUGUUUUGCGUUUUAUUGAGAAUUCAGAUGUAGUACUGGAUACUGUGUUUUUCAAUUGCCUGGUGGAUGCUUAUGGUAGGAUGGGAUGCUUUGCAGAGAUGAAGGGAGUUCUUGACAUGAUGGAGCAGAAAGGAUGUAAGCCUGAUAAGAUUACAUAUAGAACCAUGAUUAAAGCUUAUUCAAUCAAUGGGAUGACUAGCCAUGUUAAGGAGCUCCAAAAUCUGAUUGGAUAUGCUGAAGGGACUCAAUCAUAUAUGGGAAAGCCCGACUUUCGAUGAGGGAAGUUUUACAGGUCAUUCCUCCCCGUGAUGUAUAUACAAAUUCUUUGUUUAGUAGUGAAUCUUAUUUUUUACAUCACAUAUUCUUUGUUUAGUAGUGAAUCUUACUUUUGAAUGUGUAUAUUUUUAAAAUUCAAAAAAAAAAAAAAAAAAGAAUCAAUAUCUUGUGAUAAUUUUGGUUUUUCAACUUAUCUUGCAUCUGAUAUUGUGCCUUAGAAAGCAUGAACCUAUCUUCCAUUUCUCUUUUCAUCCGUAACUUGUAGCAAUCUUAACAUUCAUAACACUUAAGAACUAGGUUAAUUGUGGAAAACCACUUUAAACUAUUGGGGUUACUUGCCCUUGUACCCAGGCUUAAAACAUGCAAUCAACUCCCUAAUUAAAGUAAUUGUGCGAUAUGCGCGCUGCAAUUUAAAUAAGAAAAUAAGUAUGAUGUUUGAUAUGGAGCUAAAAAUAUUGUUUGGAAAAAGUAGAUCUAUGGAUAUGUUAACGAAGAAGAUUAAGUGUGUGAUGCCUUAGGCCUUGGCUCAGUUGCUAAAAGAACAGAGCGGGUUUGAAAAGGUCUCAGGUUCAAAUAAAAAUUGGGUAAAGACGAUGAAAUAAGUGAAAAGCUUUUCCUGUGAAAAUUUGUGGGAGUUUUUGGUCCUUUCGAGCUGUAGAUGUUAGAAUUUCUUUUCAAGUGUUUCUCUAGUAUACUUCCAGCACUAGGGUUUUUUUGGGGGGAUAAUUUUUUUUUUUAAUGAAUGCUCAUAAAAAUUUAUGGCCCUUUUUAUAUUUAAUGAAUUGCUCAUAAAAAUUUAAAUUAAAAAAAAAAAAAAAAAAAGUGAAAUGAGUUCAUUUAAAAAGGACUGUGCAACUUUGUGAAUCAAGAGAUUUAAAAGAAAGGCAAUGAGCUAGAUUUAUCUGAAGAAUUGCAAGUUGACCAGGAGGCCUUUUUGGAAGUGGUGUUGAUACUUAUACAAUAGCAUAAGUGAAAUAAGGGGAAUAGAAAAGCCUAAUGGAGCUUGGAAAUAAGUGCACAGAUCUUCAUUAUAAAAGAGUAAUAUGUUUGAUACAUAUGAAUUUGGUUCACCUGCUUAAUUAGCAAUAAGAAAACUUUUGCUGAAAAAAUAAAGUAGUAAAUAUAAAAUAUAAUUGAAUAAAAAAAAGUGGGUUCCGUUGUUUCUAUGGUUAUUGUUUUUGUUUAGAGAAGGGGGCAGGAUUUGAAAUGGAAAAUCUUGAUCCUGGACUGGUGUUGAUGUUGCUGUUCUACAUUAGUUGUCGUGCCUAUAAGAACAAUGGAGAAUCGGUUGAUGAUCUUCUUUUUCAUUGUUUAGUCACUAGGGAUACUGGGUGUUUCGUGUUUGCCUUAUUAGGAGCCUCUUCAAUUAUGCCAAAGACAGUGACAAGGAGAACUCCAGUGUCAGAAGUGCUAAUAUGGAAGGUGAUUCCAUGUGUGUUAUGUGGGCAAUCUGGCGUGACCAUAAUCCUAGAAUGUUUGAAGGGCUUGAGCAUCCUAAUCAUGUCAUCAAAAAAUCUGUGUUGAGAUGUUUGCACAGAUGGAUAACUGCCCCUGGCUGUAUUCCUUGUCAUUUUCUAGAAUUUAUCGACCCUCUGAACUUAAGUUUGCAAUCCUUCAGAGAUAUUGUAUUCAGAUGGUGCACUUGGUUGAAGUUCUGCUGCUUCUGGCUUCAGUUUCUUCUUCUCUGCAUUAGCCAGAUCAUCUGUAGGCAAUGAAUCACAAACUUUCCUCUGACUUGUAGGAGCAACUUGACCUACUGCUAAUGUGAGCCUUGGUUUAAUUUCAAGUCGAGCUUCUAUUGGUCUUGCAGUCAAAUUCAACUCUGGAGCUACAAAAUAUUUGGAUUUAUAACUUUUCAUGUCAUCUUGAGUCAAUGAUUGCUACAAAAAAGAGUUUUGCAAACAGAAUAACUUGGGCAGAGUACCAACCUUCUGCUUUAAAGUAUGGGAUUGGCUCCGUUCCUGUAUAGGAACCCAGCAAAGGAGCUAGAAAAUUAUAUUGUGUUAGAGCUUUGGAGACAGCUUCAACAUACAAAUAAAAAGAACAAGCUGUUCAUACUUAGAAUUGGAGGGAGUGUGAGGACACAUGCCUUGAUCAGGUUGAGUCAGAUCUGGGUUUUUAACUGCAUCCAGCUGAGAAUCCAAGGACAUGUUCCAGUCCCUCUCUGUCAUAGAAGCAGGUUCAGCUUGUGUCAAGAGGAGCUCUGUUCCAACCUCCCCUUGUGUUGGGAAUGUUCUUGCAGUUGAACUCAUUGUGGGGGCUAGAUAAAAGCAAAUUUGGGAGUAAUAGCUUCAGAGAUAGCUCUAUAAAAAAAAAUAA